rnacentral:rRNA from 1 species
AUGAAUAUACUAUGUCUAAACUGUCGGGGUUGCGGGCGGCCCGAGACAGUGAAUGAAAUAAACAACUUGGUUAAGUUGUAUCACCCGUGCUUAGUCUUUCUCUUAGAGACUAAGUUGUAUGCUACGAGAGCUCAAGACUUACGGUUGAGGCUUGGUUUCUCGAAUGCCUUUGGUGUUAAAAGUGAGGGACUGAGAGGUGGCUUGGUGCUGUUUUGGAACAGUGACUCGGUGGUAAGAUUGAAAUCAUAUAACAAUUCUCAUAUUGAUGUUUUGAUUUAG